rnacentral:lncRNA from 1 species
AUAUAUCCAUUGGAAUUUGGUUCUUAAUGCUUGUGGUUUUGGUCCUCAAUGAUAUUAUUAACCAAUGUCAGCUCGAUAAAAGCAAGGGGGCACACUCCAGUCCAGUGCUACUUGAUUAUGUCGACCCUGGUGGACAUGAUCAAUUUUAAUUUGCUUGCUUGGAGCUCUAUAUUCCUCCUUCUAAUUGGCUUUGUUAAUGCAUUGCUGUCUACACUCUACAAGAAGGGUUUGACAGCAUGUAUCUCAUAAGUAUUGCACAAGAGCUUAAAAUAUAUACCUUUUUACGAUCAAGUGAUUUGAUAUUAGACGAGAUUUUUCACUAGAUUGCUCAAAGAUAACACAUGCUCCAGCCUCCAACGUCACAUUAUUCACUUAUUAGGCUCAAGAUGUAAUACACGUGAGGUAGCGUGAAUGAGAUAAUUAAAGUAGCUAGCUAGUAGUGCAUGCCAGGCCUCAAUAAACUUGUGGACCUCUUCGGCUUCCCAAGUAAACUACACAAUAGAGAAGAGUAAUGGAGAUGCUUCAUUUCAAUAGGGUUCAUUUAAUAAUGGGGAAUCAAGAUCCUCUCUAGAUCUUCAAGUCCCGUGUUAGCAGAUUCAAAAAUCUAGGCUGUUCAAAGAAAGAGGAGAGAGAUUCGAACUUGGUUUGUGUAAGGUUAGCUAGUGAGAUGGACAAAUAGGAACUAUAAGAUUUUAAAUUAGUGAUCUGAAUCUCUGAGUCCGCUAACUAAGAACACAUAGAUGAUAGAUGCAAAGAGGAUCUCAAUUCGUUAAGGGUUUGCUGAUGGCUGAUGCUACCGUUGUACUAUAGAAGGGGACAAUACUAUUAUUGAAGCAGAGGACCCAAAAGGGUCCAUAACUCCAUGUAUUUGAGGCUCCACCAUUUGCUUUUUGAUACCCCAAUUUGGAAGAACAGCUCCCCCAUCAUCCAUUUUUUUCUACAGAAUCUUUCAGCGGAUUUAGAAAAAAAGCAAAUUAUUUUCCUCAUGAUUAAAGAAAAAGCAGCUACCCUUCUUAGGUCAUCCAACAACCUCUUUAAUUACCAUCCCCACCAUUAACAAUCACCAACAGUUGCCCUGAGAGCCAUAUAUGGUAGCUAUCGCUAUUUAAACAGUCAUUCCAUUUGGAAAGAGAUUCUUUCCGGAUCUAUUCUAUCAACGUCCACGGAUCAAGUGAUAUGAACAUUUGAAAUUUAAUGCAAUUGUUAAAAUUAUUAUAACUUUUAAAAGGGGUCUCUGUUUUUAGCUGUUGCAUCAAAUUUCAAAAGUUCAAAUCAUUUGAUCCGUGGACUUUGGUGGAAGAGAUCCGGAGAUGAUCUCUUUCCCUUCUAUUUCUCCAACUUUCAUUUAUUUGGUUCCAUUAAGUAGGUCAAUAAAGGUCAUUCAAUACUACGAUCUGAUGGUAUUUCUCUUCACUUGGAAGUGAACUUUCACUAUUUAAACAGUCCUUCCAUUCCUCCAACUUUCAUUUAUUUGGUUCCAUUAAGUAGGUCAAUAAAGGUCAUUCAGUACUACGAUAUGGUGAUAUUCAUCUUCACUUGGAAGUGAGAGGUCUUAGGUUUGAAUCUCGUGGAUGGCGAAUUCGAUACCAAAUUAGGUUGCCCAUUGUGUGACUUAUCCGAACUCCUCAUUCCCCUAGUGUAAAAAUAUCGAUAUACUCAAAAGUAGGUCGAUAAAGGUACAUGCAUGGAGGUAAUGGAAUAUACUUUGUAUCUCUUACUGUUUAAGACUUCAAAACAUGAGUAAAUUAAGGGUGGUGCUAUCGACACAUCUCUUUUUUUGCUUCCCUACACUCCUCUCAAUUUUGUUGAAUGUUAAUUACGGGAAUGAGUACAAUACUUAUACUUAUUUAAUAUAAGGGUUAUUUUGGUUUUGAUCCUUUAUCAACUUAAUUGUUAGACUGAAACCUUAUUUGUUUAAAUAUUUUGAUCGAUGUCCUUAACAUCAUUUAAGAGAUUUAACUCAUGCAUUUAUGCAUUUAAUGUCCCACAAAUUAUGAAAUUUAAACAAAUUGAAAUAAUAUUUUAAAAUAUAAUAAAUACUUAAAAAUAAAUAUUAGAAUAAUAUUGUUCUUCACAAAUUAUAGAAAGAAAAUAAUGUGCCCACAAAAUUAAGAACAUAUU